rnacentral:rRNA from 1 species
UUUUUUUUUCCCCCGGGACUAGCAUAUCAAUAAGCGGAGGAAAAGAAACCAACAGGGAUUGCCCUAGUAACGGCGAGUGAAGCGGCAACAGCUCAAAUUUGAAAUCUGGCGUCUUUGGCGUCCGAGUUGUAAUUUGCAGAGGGCGCUUUGGCAUUGGCAGCGGUCCAAGUUCCUUGGAACAGGACGUCACAGAGGGUGAGAAUCCCGUACGUGGUCGCUAGCCUUUACCGUGUAAAGCCCCUUCGACGAGUCGAGUUGUUUGGGAAUGCAGCUCUAAAUGGGAGGUAAAUUUCUUCUAAAGCUAAAUACUGGCCAGAGACCGAUAGCGCACAAGUAGAGUGAUCGAAAGAUGAAAAGCACUUUGGAAAGAGAGUUAAAAAGCACGUGAAAUUGUUGAAAGGGAAGCGCUUGCAGCCAGACUUGCCUGUAGUUGCUCAUCCGGGUUUUUACCCGGUGCACUCUUCUAUAGGCAGGCCAGCAUCAGUUUGGGCGGUUGGAUAAAGGUCUCUGUCACGUACCUCCUCUCGGGGAGAUCUUAUAGGGGAGACGACAUGCAACCAGCCUGGACUGAGGUCCGCGCAUCUGCUAGGAUGCUGGCGUAAUGGCUGUAAGCGGCCCGUCUUGAAACACGGACCAAGGAGUCUAACAUCUAUGCGAGUGUUUGGGUGUCAAGCCCGAACGCGUAAUGAAAGUGAACGGAGGUGGGAACCUUUCGGGGUGCACCAUCGACCGAUCCUGAUGUCUUCGGAUGGAUUUGAGUAAGAGCAUAGCUGUUGGGACCCGAAAGAUGGUGAACUAUGCUUGAAUAGGGUGAAGCCAGAGGAAACUCUGGUGGAGGCUCGCAGCGGUUCUGACGUGCAAAUCGAUCGUCAAAUUUGGGCAUAGGGGCGAAAGACUAAUCGAACUAUCUAGUAGCUGGUUCCUGCGAGCUCUCUCUCUACAGGAUAUAUAA